GCCUAGCCCUAUACAUAGACAGCACAAAUACAAUACUGUCCGCCAGAGAACUACAAGUGAAAAACUAGAAACUCAAAGGACUUGGCGGUGCCCCACAUCAACCUAGAGGAGCCUGUCCUAUAAUCGAUAAUCCACGCUGCACCUUACCAUUUCUUGAAACUCAGCCUAUAUACCGCCGUCGAAAGCCUACCUUAUGAAAGAAACAAAGUAGGCAAAAUAGUUAACAACUAAAACGUCAGGUCAAGGUGUAGCACAUGAAAUGGCAGAGAUGGGCUACAUUUUCUGUCCCAGAAAACACGAACAGCACAAUGAAAUCUGUACUCAAAGGUGGAUUUAGCAGUAAGGUAAAAAAGAAACUCUACCUUAAAUCCGCU
rnacentral:rRNA from 1 species